AGAUAGAAAGUGAAAUGAUCUUAGGUUCAUACUCCUCCUGUUCUGACUGCGUAGUGCCUGCUUUAUUUCAAGUGUAAAUAUUUUUUUUCUUGGAGUCAUGUUGAUUAAAUAGGUGUUUCCUGCAGGUCUGCAUGUUCUCUUAAAGCUGUCCAUGAGAGACUGUUUGGACUGCUUUUUUUUUUUUUCUUGUAAAGGUGUCUGACAAUUAUACCCUGAAAUUCUCUCCUUGAACUCUGGUUGUUGCAAGUUUAUUGUGCCAGUGUUCAAAACCAGGCUAGUAGUAUCACAGUGCAUUAAACUCUUUGCAGAUAACGCUUCUUUUUUCCUGCAUUCACACUCAAUCCCCAUGUGGGUCUGGCUGAGGCAGAGGAGAAGAUUGGGAGACACUUUACCAAUCCUGAGAGCUCUCUGGACAUUUAAAUAAUAUAUGUAUAAUGUCAUCCCUUCAGCACUUCUAAUAAGCUGGUUACUUUCUCGAGGUAGUAGGAGGAGGAAGUAAAGCGUAUGGAUUUCUGCCUAAUUAUAUUAAACUCUGACUAAAGUUUAAGGAUGCAUAUUUGUAAUAUAUUAUGUUAGAACUUAAGAUCAGUUGAUGAAAAUAUCUGUCCAGUUUGUGUAUACAAUGGAGCUGUGGAUUUCAGCAGUUAUCAUUCGAAGUAGUUGCUACCAAAACAAACAAAGAAAAAACAGGAAUAAAGGAAUCAAAGAUUACAUAACCUGUAAUGAACAGAAGUGCUGUAGGUAAAGUUGUUGAUGUACUGUAAAAGCAGCUUUGGAAGGCAUUUAUAUUUGCUGGAAAUAUUCAACAUCUAAUCUUCAUUCAGAAGUGGAACCACAAUUACCUUGAUAGGAUGGGAUUGUUUUGUGUGUGUUUUUUUUUUGUUUGUUUGUUUUCUGAAUUUGUAUGGAAAAGACUUUUGGAAGCCUAAUCAUAGUAAUUGUGCUCUAGAUGUAGUUUAUAAUUAUCCUUUCAUGGCACCCAAAUAUUUCUUGCUUUGUUUACUGUGCUUAAAAAUGUGUUUUUAUUGCCAAGAUGCUGAAUCCAAAAGGAAACUUAAAGGACUCAUCUUUGUAAGUUUAUUUACAUGGAGGUUUGGGAGUAGAUAAUAUUUUCUCAAUAUCUAGAUAUAAAAAGAAAAUUAAAUCUUUUAAUUAAUUACUCUAAAACAUGAAGACCAAGGUGUAAGGGGGAAUAACAACUUCAUACAAUCGCCUCUUUGGAUAUUAUACAAAGUAAUUAUACACGUCAGUGAUGGACACACCCAACUCUUCUAAGAAGAAAUAAACUAAAUUGAUUGAGAUCUUUUCCUCGAUUAGCAGUUUGUGAACUGUGUGUAUUUACAAGGCCAACGUACUAAGGAGUAGUUCAGUUUCAAAAUCCAACUCUCAGUUGCUGACACUUACAAAGCUGAUUGUUAUUCCUCAGUCUUCUUUUGUUUGAGGAGAAGUUGCUUGCACCUCUGGCUGUUAUAGCUGGAUCUUAGCAGCAGUUCCUGGAAGCAUUUCACAUUUGCAUCUCUCUUCUACGUAAAGGAGAGUAUAAUCAUGCAUCCUUUUCUCUGCUGCGUCCUGCUCCACUGCAAAUCCUGAUGCCCCAUGAAGGUUUGAGGAAGCAUGGCAUGUCCCAGGCUGCUUCCCCAUCUGAGAAUUAGGAAACCAAAGAUGUCCUGCCGUAGACAACUUCCUUGACAGCAAGGCAUAGUGAUGGGUUUACUAAGGUGUGGUGCCUGUCAUUUCUUUUUCUUGUCUGGGUGCACAACCAGUGUGGCAUACUCAGAAGAAGCUUACCUACCAAAACACAAAGGAGAAGGUGGGUGUUUCUGGGGAGUGCAUACUCACUUAAAAGCAACAGCUAUGGAAAAGGGGGACAAAGUGUUUUAAAAUGUUUCCCAAAGCAUUGAGCUACAAAAUGACAUUCUCACUGGUCUAGUAAAUAUUAAAAUAUCUCCCAAGAAGAUACUUUCAAGGCAUCAUAUACUGUGAAUUUCAUGAUAAACCAGCAAUGUGGGAGACCUAAAAUUUUAUAUCUUGAUCUAAAGAACUGAAGCAUCCACCCUAAUCUGUCAAAGGGCAAGCAGCAUCACUUGUUUGGGAUAUGGUGCUGCACUUGUGAUCUUAUCUGGAAUUGUUUUCUUAAUUUAUGUUGCUGGACUUCAUAAUUUAAACUGUUUAAGAUCUUCCUCCAGCCAAGCUUAACAGAACUUAUUUAAAAGACCUUCUAGCUUGCUUAUGAAUAUUUUCACCAAAAUGACUAAUUCUGAGCUCUUGAUAUAGUUAACAUGAAGAGAGUUAUGGCUUUAAAUCUUAAGAAUCACUGACUGUUUUGCAGAGAAGCAAACUUACACUAAAUAAAAUUCCUGUUUUUUCUUCCAGUUAUUAUUUUUAAAAAACACAACUUCUUGGUUGCACAGGGAAGGAAAGGACUUCAAGUCCAAACUAUUUUACAUGACAAUUAUUCAGUGAGAACCUGCCUUCUAACUCAGAAUUUCUCACCUCCCUCACCCAUUUCAUUGUUGUUAGUUCAGCGGCACAAAAGAGUAAAUCUUCAUGAUAGGUUUUCUGUAUGGUUUUUGGUUAUUUGUAAAGAGCUUUGAAAUUCUUGCAUGAAAAGGCUUAUCAAAAGACUGAUUCUGUUUUCAGUGCUUUGCCUUAUGUGAAAUACUACUUUUAGGCAGUCAUAUUUGUACAACACAUUAAUGCCUUCCACAUUAAUGCAGAACUUCUCUUUGAUCCCUUCUUAACUAGAAAGACUGAGUCCUAUGGUUCCUGUUAAUGUUCUGCGGAUUAAUUCUAUUUUCAUCUCUCCAUAAUUCUACUUGAUUUCUAUUUUGUAUUUUUAGUUUCUGUGCAACAAAAAAAUAAAAAAAACAAGCCUGGAAACAUGGAACUUCCACUGAGCUUUCUUCUCUCUCCUGAAACCUAGUAAUGGUGUGGGCUCCCCUGUAUCAACCCUCCUGGUCCCAUGAGUUUUACACUUCUGGAUGUUUGGCAAACCAGUUUCAACUGGGGGAAGUAUCCCAUACUCUCACAGUGGGGUCAUUCUUUGGGGUUGAGGGAAAAGUUGGUUAUGGUCAUAUACUAAAGAAGCUAUGUGUUAUAAUCUAAGACCUGUACUUUGGGGCCAAGGUUUUUAGAACAUGGUUACAUCAUUUUCCAGUAUGUUAUGGUUUGAACUUUAUAUGCUAGUUAAGGUCAGAAAAUGCCUAGAAAAUCAUGUGUGGGGAUACGAGAAAGACUAUUAAAAGCAGAAGCUGCGAAGCAAGAUAAACAGCAUGAGAAGGGAAGGCUGAGAACCAAGGACAUCUCCAGAAGAAGAGAAAAGCAAAGUCAAGGAAGCUGCAUAACGAUGACCCUGAUUGGAGGAAGACAGCAUGGCUAGGACCAACUCAUGGCUCUGACUGGAUAAGCACCUGCAUGCGCGGUUAAGGAGUGUUUACAUGUCAGCAAAGCAUUCCACAAAGGUGCAUAUCCUUAGAAGCAGUGUUUCUCUUCUGGGAGUAAGUUGGAACUGUAACUUAAAGGAGAAGAGUAUGGGGUGGAAGCAGAUACACAUUGAGAAGGAGAGCAAAGCCUGCAAAUCUUCUGCCAGCUCCUUCUGCUCAACCUGGGACCAGCUACGCCCAUGAUUCCUCUCUGUAAAGUGCAAGAGAGUGUAAGAUAAAGAAGAAAAUAUAUCAAUUUAUAAAAAAAAGAAAUGAAGAAGAGGAAGUGCAAAUCAGAUAACAAUGCAGUGAGUCGAGUGUAGACCACACAGCAUGUGCAGUUCUCUGACACUGAAGACAUUAAUUGCCUUAUUGCUAUGGCAGUUCAAGAUGAAAACAUGGAUUUUCAGAUACAGUCCUCAACCUGACUUUGUGGAAACAUGUUUUUAGACAUGGAAACAUCAAGACAUGAAAGGACAUUGUAAGGACUGCGCAGUAGAAGAAAGCUGAAGACAACUUUUUACAGUCAGCAAACUUGAGUGCCUCUUGUAUCUGGAGUGGAUUAGAACUGUAGUACUUGGCUGCUGAAUGUGUAUCCAAUGGAAUUUGCUGGUACUGGUUCUUGAAAUCUGUUAAUUGAAAAGAAUAAUGGAUAAUGAAGAAUCCAGGAAGACCAGUGUUUUGUGGCCCUGCUGAAGAGUUGGUGCCUUUCAGAAAAAAAAAAAAAAAAACAACUUCCAGAAAAAUUAAUUCUGAUCCUCAUCUUGCUAAGUUCUGGCCUACAGUACUUACCAUGUACAUUAUUGGCUGUCCAGUGCAAUGCUGCAGUCCACUAGAGCCUGGGUCUUUCUUAUGCUGGAAACCCUGGAGUCUGGCUUUUCAGUACAUAGGCAGCUAUGCUUCCAGUCAAGCAUCUUAAAUUAAUUUGCAACUGGAAAUGAUGAGGCCCCAUUCCUGCAGGAUUUUCAGUAACAACAGUAUGAAGAUGUAUCAUCCUCUACCUUGCAUUUUAACUAGCUGCCCGUCCAGCAGGUGUGUGAAUUUCUUCCUAAGCCUGAAGUUACGGAAUCAAAAGGCCACAAGCAGUCCUGGAAAAAGGGAACUCUGCCCCUUUGUCUGUUGCGAAGCUGCACCAGUCUGCUGGGUGGAAAAAAUGUAUUGUUCAGUAAACCCAAGGGGGACAUCAGAAGGACUGAACAUCUGAGGGUUGAAGUGAGCAGUUGUGAUCCCAAAACCAAAAUCCACAAGAAAAGAAUGGACUGAGUGAUCAGAGAGAGGCCCCCCAGAAAACUGUGAGUGCAGCCCAGCAUCCUGUGCAGAAAGAAAGCACUUCAAGCACAUUCAAGUGCACUACAAUCUCCUGAGGGGAUUAGAACAAGUGGUACUGGAACAACAGAGACAAAUAAUGCACGUAUCAAAGGAAGCAAGGCAGAGUUGUAAAAUCUGAAAAAGAAGAGCAAAGGAGUGAGAUCCUCUGUCCAGUUGUUAACUGUCCCAAGAUGGUAUGUAAUUAAUAUAUGGAACACCACCAAAAAAGGCAACCAGGAAAGUCAAAAGUUAACCACACUGCUAGGAUUCAUACUGACCCAAAUUCCUAGAAGGUUCAUCACACACUGGACAAAUAUAAGUAGCCAUAUCUGAAGUAUAUGGAUCAGAAAAACAGUUUGGAGUCAAAAACCUAGGUGAGCACAAAAUAAUUGUUUUUCAUCACUGGUAGAGUCUUUCUAUAUAUCAUUCUAUAUUAAAUGCUUAGUGAAGUAGUUUAAUUAAACAUAAAAAUCACAAAUGCCAGUUGCCUUACAAUGUAGGUCUGGUAGAACAAUUUGAAAGUCGCAAGCAAAACGCACCUUAAGAAGCCUGGGCACUGAAACAGAUGGUUGCAUCCCAGGCUGCCCUGUAGCCCUCUGUGGCAGGAUAACUGUAACAGUAGAGGUAUAUGCACUGGUGUGUAAGUGUGAAUGUAUGAUUGUGUGUAUCUGUAAAUGUGUGUAUGAGUGUAAGAGUGCAUGUGUGUAUAAGUGUGUGCACGUGUAUUUAAGUGGGGGUGUGUGCAUAAGCAGGAGUGUGUGUAAUGGUGUGUGCGUGUGCAUAUGUAUAAGUGUAUGUGCAAGUGCAUUUGUGUGCAGCUGUGUUCCUGCAAAUUUAAGAAUGUGCGUGCAAGUGUGUGUGUCUAAUUGUGAGUAUGUGUUUGUGUGUGUGUAAGUGCACCUGCAUGUGUGUAUAUAUAGUACUACUAUAUAGUAGUGUGUGUGUGUAUACUAUAUAUAUACUACAAUAAAUAUAGUAGUAUGUGUGGUGGGUGUGUACAUAGAUAUAUACACAUAUUAUCGAUAUAUAGAUACACACCUACACCAGUCCAGGUGCUUGCUCUGUUCCCAUUUGCUGUUGACAGAUUACAAAAGAGGAAAAAAAAAAAAACAGCAUUUCAUUCUGAAGUCCUUCGUGUAAAUGUAGUCCAUCCAUUUUUAGAACUAAUGAUAGAUACCUAAAUAUACUGCAAACACAAGCUUGGCUUCAUAUUAACUUCAUUCUCAUUAUUUUACUGAACCACGUGAUAAAUUUGUGUAGGAGUAGGUGAGAUGAAGGUCUGACCUUUACGUAACUUUCUACUUCACUGGUUUUUAUAUAAAAAAAAAAAAACAAACAAAACCCAUGCUAACCGGGUGUUAGGAGUCUCCAAGACAAACUACCUGCAGCCAUAAUUACUGCAGGCAUUAUAUAAUAAUUACCAUCAACCAACUAGCAUGGCACGCAGCAUUUCUUUCAUCAUUUAAUUACGGAUCUUAGCUAUAUGUACGCACAAGUCUGGGUAAUAGUACAAAACACAAAGCAAAGUAUUAUUUUGUUUUAAAAUAAAGCCAAGUUAGUCAGCAGAACCUAUACAUAGUAUUUUAGAUAUUGAAAUGCAAGCACAUUAUUGGCUUUGGUUUACAUAGUUAUCUUCCCAAAAAACAGGUAGAAUAUGGAAAAAGAAGAUGAACAGCUUGGUGAGUGACAAGCACUCCUUUGGGAGUAUUUUUUAAUCCCAUGUCAGCUUAACAUUAGGAAUGCAGACCAGGAUCCAUCUGUCUUUGCUCCUACUAGCAUUUUUCUCACUGGCUAUAAACAUUUGUAUGUGUUUACUGGCUCUAUAUUGUAUAACAACUCACUUAUUUGACUUGUCAUUAAAAUGAGCUUUUUUUCUUCCUCUCUAUGAAGUGGGAGAUCAUUAUAAAUAAGAUAAACAAUGUGAAAAUGUAUUCUGCUUACUUAAAAAAAAAAGUCCUGAAUGCAAUAUCAAAUCCUUUUUCUUCCAGAAUAAUUAUGAAUUAAAAAUACCAUCACAAGUCUACCUGUAGACAAGCUGGGAGGGACUGGUUCACAAUCACAUCAUCAGAACAGAACUGUUUCCAUGAAACAUUUUAACUUCCAGUUAGGGCAUUCAGUGAGGAGAACAGCGUGGCUCUCUGUGUCAAGGGAAACAAAAUGUGUACUGAAGACAUUUAUGUUAUUGGCAUGGAUCACUAAGCAUAAAGAUGACAGACGCCAUAUAACACAACUGGGCAUACAGAAUCGCACUAUCAAAGAAGGCCUGCAUCAACCCCACUGAACACGACUUGCUGCAUUCUCUAGAUGUACACAUGCCAGCAAGCUCAUUCUGUUGUUUUGAACUCGAAGAAAAGUUCAUCAGCUUGGAGGAGGGAUGGGUUCAGAAAGACCCAACUGCAACACAUGAGUGCCAAUGGAGAGAUGACCAAGAAGACAGAACCACAAUGGUCAGUGGCACAAAGUCAAGAGACAAGCAAAAACUGAAGGUUUGCAAGAUGUAUGACACAGAAAUGAAAAGCAUGCCUUUACAUUAAAGGAAAUUAAAAAAACCUUUUAUUGGACAAUUAAGUAUUUAAAUGUCAAAAUGGUGAGUGUAAAAGGAAGAUCACCAAACAGAAUAAUCAAGAGGAAGAGACAUUGAUGAUGUCAUUUGCCUUUAUACAUUCUCUCAGACUAACAAGGAUGAAUUCAUCUUCAAAGGAGAUCCUGUCAUCAGUUGACUCCCAAGGGUACUGGUCCCCUGCCUCACAUCCUGUGGGUAUUUACUGACUGGCCUAUCCGUGAGCUGGUGGUUGUCAUCACUCUGUGUGGCACUGUUCCUGACACUGCAGCCUGCAGACAACAUGCCACGAGAUCGCUCUGAUGUCAGUUCCUAAAGGACUAGCACCUCUGGUCUCUGAUUAUGAGGUACUUUUUGUCAGGACAAACUGCAGUUAACAAGUUGAGAGGAAAGUGGCUACAUCCUUAGGCACAAUGUGAAGCAAAACUGUAAUGCAGAAAGACUAUUAGGGAAGCUGUGUGGGAAGAGUUCAAAGGCUAUCACUUAUACAAGUAACUUGAUCUUACUUGAAAAAUAAAGGUGUGAUUUCACACAGGAUAUUGGCCUAGGUAUAGGCCUUUUGCUAUCACAUAACACAGGAUUAGAUUAUUUCACGUCAUUAUCUUGAGAUUUUAACUUGAAAGUAAUGAUUAACAAAGCAGAUAUGAACCCUUAGAGGCCUAUUUCAGUAGAAACUGAAGUAAAAGAAUUUAUCAGAUCGUAAACAUUACAAGGCAAUUUGACACGCAGGUAUAUCCUUAAUGGCAUAAGGAAAUACUUUACUCCAUGCUUAUUAAUUCUUAGUCCUACGAUGAUUUAAUAUCUUAGUGUUAAGAUGUAAAUUUAAUGUUGGUGGAAACUGUGUGUGUGCUGAUCACAGGAUCCCAGGAUGGCUGAGGAUGGCAGGGCCCGCCGGGUGCAUCAGGCCCAGCCCUGGCUGCAGCAGGGCCACCCAGAGCAGCUGCCCAGGCCCAUGUCCAAGUGGCUUUGGGAGAUCUCCAAGGAGAGGACUCCACAGCCUCUCUGGGCAGCUUGUGCCAGGGCUCUGGAACCUGCACAGCACAGAAGUGCUGCCUGGUGUUCAGACAGCACCUCUUAUGAUUCAGUUUGCCUCUUGUCCUGGUAUUGGGCACCAUUCAAAAGACUGUGGCUUCCUCUUCUUUAUCCCUUUGGGUUUUUGUACACAUGGAUGAGAUCCCUCUGAGCUUUCUCUUCUUCAGGCUGAACAGUCUCAGCUCUUGCAGUCUUUGCUCAUAGGAGAUAAGAAUUAGAUUGGAUCAGCUUGAAUUUCUUGGAAUCCGAUCCUAGCAAAAUCUGCUUAGGCUGGUACCAUUUGUAUAGAUUAAGAACUAUCUCAAAACUGGUUAAUAUUUUUGAAUUACAUCCUUGCCACAGUGUUUGUAUUUUGUAUUGAUUAAAGGCUUCGGGUCCACCCUUGUUCCCUCUUAGGCACACCAUUCUUUCUGGGCACUGCUGAUGUGCUUUCUGAACUGCAGCCUAAUCCUGUGGGGUUCUGAGCACCAUCCAAAAUGACGUUGACAGCUUUCAGGUCCUGCUUAAAUUGUAGGCUUUUGAUGGUAACUAACAUGCUGACAAAGCACUAGGGAAUGACAAUAUCACUGCUUAUGUUUAUAAAUUCACUCUAAAUAUCUAACUUGAGACAGAUUAUUUUCUGAGGACAAAAUAGUAUUUUUUAUAAAUUUUGAACUCUAAUCGAGUGGUAUUCUUUUCAAAAUGGAUUGUGACAGGGCACAACUUACAACGGUAUCAGAAACAUUAUAUGAAAUAAAUACUUCAAAGACUUACUGUCAACCUGAACACAUUUUAUAGGAUGAUCUGUGAUCCAGAUGGUAGUGAAGCUGAAGUUCUUAUUUUUUCGUGGCACUGUGGGAAUAAGAUACUAUGAUUUGGUGCCAGUGUGUGAUCAAUAAAGAAAAAUGUUGGCAAUACUUUGGAAUACUGUGCAUUCUUAGCUAGAUGAUGUGAACUCCAAUGAUUAAUAGUGGGAUAGCUUUGAAGAAUUACUGGAAAAAGCUUUAAAAUCAUUUUCCUUUGUGCUAUAUUUCCAUUCAGUGAAUUGGCAAGGAAAUAACAAUGAGAAUUUAUUGGUAUGAAUAAUGUGUCAUUGGUAACUUCUUUAUAUUCCUGGCCAACUGGCAGUUCUUAAGAUUUUAAGACUUCUGCAGCAUUACCUGAAUUCCCAAAUAUAAAAAUUAAUGCUUGAUUCAAAAUCUUAAUACUAAAGUAAUGAUCUUCUACAAUGUAGCUCCUGAAUAUCUAUGUAAAAAAAAUAAAUACCUUACAGUAUCUUGUGUCAUUCUAAUCAAUUAAUAAUCUGCAAAAAUUCUAUGUACAUUUACGUAGGAAGGGUAGAAGAAAACGGAUAGCAUUGAGUUCCCUUGGCAACAGCAUUUCCUCAUUAAAAACAUCCCCGCAGAGCCUUAUACCUGCUUUUGUAACAUAUUAAUGUAUGUGUUUAAGAAUUAUAAAACUAUUAGAAUUAGCGACCUAAUUUUUUAAGAUUUUUCCUAUAUAUGUGUUUGGAAAAAUGCAUGGGGUGAAAGUCUCCAUGCUCCAACUUGGACCUUACUUCUGUCAAAAUAAUUAAGAUAGUUCUGUGAAUGAGAAAACUGAUGAGAAAUUCAGUGUUUAUGAUUUUCUAUGCCCUCCAUGUUAAACCUUUUCUUCAACACUUUCCACUGAGUCCAGGUUUUAGAUAGUGAUAUUAACUAUUUUGUCAUACAAGUGCUGGCUGCUAUUCUUGCACAAACCUGGAAAAUUACUGUUUGCAUGUGAUCAGUAAAGACAUAUAUUUUACAGAUCAGUUCCUUGGAAGCUCUCCAUCUCUUCUCUGGGAAAGUUCCAGAUGUCCUAACUGAAACUUCUGUGUGCUCCUGGAGAUGACACCUAGCCUAUAUUGGGCUGAAUUGAUAGUUUAUGUUCUCUCCAGUUGACUCCAGGCAAUGUGGAACAGGGAAUCUG